rnacentral:rRNA from 1 species
GACGAACGCUGGCGGCGUGCUUAACACAUGCGAGUCGAACGGAAAGGCCCUGCUUUUGUGGGGUGCUCGAGUGGCGAACGGGUGAGUAACACGUGAGUAACCUGCCCUUGACUUUGGGAUAACUUCAGGAAACUGGGGCUAAUACCGGAUAGGAGCUCCUGCUGCAUGGUGGGGGUUGGAAAGUUUCGGCGGUUGGGGAUGGACUCGCGGCUUAUCAGCUUGUUGGUGGGGUAGUGUCUUACCAAGGCUUUGACGGGUAGCCGGCCUGAGAGGGUGACCGGCCACAUUGGGACUGAGAUACGGCCCAGACUCCUACGGGAGGCAGCAGUGGGGAAUAUUGCACAAUGGGCGGAAGCCUGAUGCAGCAACGCCGCGUGCGGGAUGACGGCCUUCGGGUUGUAAACCGCUUUCGCCUGUGACGAAGCGUGAGUGACGGUAAUGGGUAAAGAAGCACCGGCUAACUACGUG